CGAACGCUGGCGGCAUGCCUACCACAUGCAAGUCGACCGAGACCUUCGGGUCUAGUGGCGCACGGGUGCGUAACGCGUGGGAACCUGCCCUUAGGUUCGGAAUAACUCCCCGAAAGGGGUGCUAAUACCGGAUAAUGUCUUCGGACCAAAGAUUUAUCGCCUUUGGAUGGGCCCGCGUUGGAUUAGCUAGUUGGUAGGGUAAAAGCCUACCAAGGCGACGAUCCAUAGCUGGUCUGAGAGGAUGAUCAGCCACACUGGGACUGAGACACGGCCCAGACUCCUACGGGAGGCAGCAGUGGGGAAUAUUGGACAAUGGGCGAAAGCCUGAUCCAGCAAUGCCGCGUGAGUGAUGAAGGCCUUAGGGUUGUAAAGCUCUUUUACCCGGGAUGAUAAUGACAGUACCGGGAGAAUAAGCUCCGGCUAACUCCGUG
rnacentral:rRNA from 1 species